rnacentral:rRNA from 1 species
UGAACGCUGGCGGCGUGCUUAACACAUGCAAGUCGAACGAACCUUCGGGUUAGUGGCGGACGGGUGAGUAACGCGUGAGAAUCUGCCCUCAGGAGGGGGAUAACAGCUGGAAACGGCUGCUAAUACCCCAUAUGCCGCGAGGUGAAAUGAAUUUCGCCUGAGGAUGAGCUCGCGUCUGAUUAGCUAGUUGGUGUAGGUAAUGGCUCACCAAGGCAUCGAUCAGUAGCUGGUCUGAGAGGAUGAUCAGCCACACUGGGACUGAGACACGGCCCAGACUCCUACGGGAGGCAGCAGUGGGGAAUUUUCCGCAAUGGGCGAAAGCCUGACGGAGCAACGCCGCGUGAGGGAUGAAGGCCUCUGGGCUGUAAACCUCUUUUAUCAAGGAAGAAACACACCUACGUGUAGGUGCUUGACGGUACUGUAAGAAUAAGCAC